UACGGGGGGGGCAAGCGUUGUUCGGAAUUACUGGGCGUAAAGGGCUCGUAGGCGGUUUGUCGCGUCGGGAGUGAAAACUCAGGGCUCAACCCUGAGCGUGCUUCCGAUACGGGCAGACUAGAGGUAUGCAGGGGAGAACGGAAUUCCGAGUGUAGAGGUGAAAUUCGUAGAUAUUCGGAAGAACACCAGUGGCGAAGGCGGCUCACUGGCCCGUUACCGACGCUCAGGCGCGACAGCGUGGGGAGCAAACAGG
rnacentral:rRNA from 1 species